UCUAUCACUAACUACACUUACUGUCCAAUGAACCCAACCAAUAAACAAUAUCUGUUUAACAUUACAACUACUAAUAAAGCUGGGAAUGGAUCUACUAAUAACAUAACUGUUGGAUUUGAAACAAGUUCGGAGUUCCUGAGCAUUUACCAAGACACCUUUACAUAUCGAAUGAACAACAAUUGGAGUUUAUCUUUCAUUAUAUCAGGCUAUGAAUUGUGUCUUGGAGUGUCACUUGCUAAUAUUACAGUAAUAAGUUGCACUGUUGAUAAUGCUAGUAAUUGCUAUUCGUCAACAGCAGUGUCACUUAUUAGUAGUUUUUACAAUAACUAAUCUCCUUUUUGCUGUUAUCAGUCUUCCCUCAAGAGAGAUACUGGAUACUAUUGUUAUUAUACAUUAUCAAAGUGGAGCAAAUUUUCACAGCAAUACUAUCAGAAUCAACACUUAUGAUCUUCAGCAAUUGAGAUUGAUUAAUACUCUGGUACUCAAUGGGGUCUGCAUGGAGUUUAAGUUUGUCAAUGGCAGCACAACAAAUAAUGUACAUAUUCACAUCACUAGUUAUGAAAAUCCUCAACUAGUGUAUUACAGUAUAUCUCGUAAUGAUAGGCUCAACUUUAUUGAGUGUAUAACUAACAUAUCAUCUGGUAAUAAUCUAACACUGUAUGCAUGGAAUC